rnacentral:ncRNA from 1 species
CCGGUCGGAGGCCAAACCAUUCGUGAGAAUGGGACGGAAAGCCAAGGAUCUCUAAAACAACAAGAGACAGCCUGGUUGCAAAG